ensembl:lincRNA
GAGCAAUUUGUCAUAGAAUCUGGGGGGCUCAUUUUUCCGGCCAAUCACUUUUAGAGAAAUGAGCGCAUUGCAGCAGAAUGCGCUGACGUCAGAGACCACCCCCUCUGCGCAUCCAUAUAAACCCCACCCAGCCAGCCCCUGGCGCAGACGGCGGCGAGCUGGAUGGAGCGCGCGCGGGCUCACCAGCCUGGCGCAGCUCCUCCGAAGAGUCGGGGCGCCCACGCGAGCCUUCCCGCCUGGGGUGCCUCUUCCGCGAUGACGUCAUGGACUCACCCACGUCCUCCGGGACCACCUCCCCUGGAUGCCAAGCCGCUGCGAGGUGCUGCCGCCUGCCUCCUCAUCACGGUCUUCAUUUGCAUAUGGCCCCAAGAGCCAGGCUUCCAGGACCCCACCGACCUAGCAAGCAGCCACCAGCAGACCCCCGCGUGCAGCCCCUGGAAGGACGGGAUGAAGACCCCGGGGCCUGGCCAGCAGCUGUCCCUCGGGGCUAAAGACUUCAACCAGUGCCCUACUCAGCUUCUCCAGGGGCCCUGUCUCCACUGCUUUCCUUCCUCACCUCCAUCUCCUCUGCAACCCAUGCCUCCCGACCCGCUCUGCUCCGCCCACCGGUCUCGCCCAGGUAAAGUCUCUGUAGCUUACUCUCAGCACGCUUCCAGCCACCACGCACACACGCCACACACCACACACGUGCCUCCUCACGAGGCUUGCGGCUCCGACUCACUUCCGCGGACACACACGUCACAGAGACACCUGCUCUCAGCACCCUGUGCUCGGUUGGCCCGGGAACUCGCACACCCAGGCCUCCCAGCUCUGGAGGCUUCCUCUUGGAGCACUGCCUUGAGCUCUCGGAGUUGGCUGGCCUGGGUUCGAGUCCAGGACCAAGGGGUAGAUCAGUGGUCUCAGGCUCCCUGUCUGUCACAGUAGCAAGCUGCAAGCCAGGGGCGCCGGGCUUCGCCACAGGUAAGCACCACACAUGCUGGGGAAGGAGCCUGAGAAAGGAGGUAGAGUGUUCGUGCCGGAAUGCGGGUGGGGUCCACGCUUUCUCACCAGUUCCCACAGGAGAAGCAAAGACAGGAGGAAGAGCCGGAGAGGGUCCAGGACAGAGAAAAGAUAAGAACCCUUUAGAAAAGGCAUUAAAGGCCCAAAGGGACAAAAAACAAAACACAGGAAGAGGAGACUUAGGAAAUAUUAAAACCCACCCAAAACUCAUCCGGAGGAAGGUUUCCUCUUCAGUAUGUGUUGGGGGGUAGGAGAAAGAAAACAGGGGGAAGCUGUUACAUUGAUUACCCAUUGACAAACCCCAGCAGGUUUUCAAAUCAAAUCUCCCCACGUUGGGUUUUUAACUCCUCCACCCAGCUUAACCCCUCCACCUCCCAGCCCCGUCCCGCCGCCCCGUCGGUGAUUAAGUCCCAAAGGUCUGGGCAGUGUGGCACUGAAUGGAUGGCCAACAGAAAGGCCGCUCCCCGCCCCCAGCCGGGGUUCCAGCUGUAGUCCUCUUCCCCCUUGUCCCUUAAUGAACGCAGGGCUAAUCUGGGGCCUUGUGGAAGGAAGAGGCCGCAGACACUAAUGAGGUAGCCGCUGGAUUCCAAUAUUCAUCUCAUAAGGAGCCUUCUUUGUCUGCGAAGGGAAAACACACUGAUUAUCAUAAUGAGGGGAACCAGUGUCUGCAGGGCAGGGGCGACGUGGGUGCUUAAGCCACUCGUCUAAUCUCGGGGCUGCAGCUGACGUCCCCUUGCCCCCUCAUUUAAGUCUGCUCCUCUGUCCCAGCUCAAGGCCCAUGGGGAGGGGUUGAAAGGUGGAAAGCAGGGCUGAGGGUAGGUUGCAGGGGAGGUGUGGCUUUGCUCUACCUCGUGUUGCCCACGCAGCUGGCCAGGGCGUGCAUCUGUGCUGUCCAAGGGCCGGGCUGCGGCCGGGCUCAGGCUGUGGGGCUCGGUCUCCCAAGCCAGCACGCACCUGACCAGCUUCAGGGCCCACCGGGAGUGCUCAGCAAUUACUCAGACUAGCACAUGGCAGCAGAGCGCCAAGCUGGGGGCACCAAUGGGGUCGCCUCCAGCCGGCACCCAUGCAGGCCCCACCCAGGUCCAGAGAGGGAUGUCAGCACCCCAGCACCACGCUAUCCCUGAGGAUAGCUUGGGAUUCACAUUGGGCAGCCACAUGCUCAUGAGAUUGGGACUUAGGGGGCAGUGGGUUGGCCCGAUGGGCCAACCAAGUGCUAGGGAGACAGAAAACCUGAUAGGAUCUAGGCCUGGUGGUGCAAACCUGUCAUCGGAGGCUGAGACAGGAGUUCAAGGCCAGCCUGGGCCAUGUGGUAACUUCAAGACCAGCCCAAACUAUAUAGCAAGACAUUGUCUUAAAGGAAACAAACAAAAAUACCAAAAAAUAAAUUAAAACCCCCACCAAACCUGAGGGGUGCUGGGACAUAGGUCAGGGUAGAGUGCUUGCCCUGCUUGGGCGUGACCCUGAGCUCAUUCCCAGCGCAACUCAGGUCUCCGCACCUCAUGCCCCCCACCCCGAGGUCCUGCAGCCCCGCCUGCACCCCUCCCCCUUGAGCUCCCUUCACAGAGCCCACUAACAUCUACGCAGCAGGUGUGUCCUGAGCAGGAGACUUGCACUUACCUGUCCCGGAUUCUGGAUAUUUCUCACCCUAAGGUAGAUCAAUCAAGAUUAGAUCACUCCAGUUAAACCUGAGGUUCUCACCAGACCUUCAGCCAAACGGAAAACAACUAGAGGAGGGAGGCGGCCGGAGCAGGAAAAUGUCCCAACCUUUUAUUCCUUUUUUUUUUUUUUUUUUUUUUUUUUUUUUUUUUUUUUUUUUUUUUUUUUUUUUUUUUCCUUUUUUU